GACGGAGGGUGCAAGCGUUAUCCGGAUUCACUGGGUUUAAAGGGUGCGUAGGCGGAAUUAUAAGUCAGUGGUGAAAGCCCCGAGCUCAACUUGGGAACUGCCAUUGAUACUGUUUUUCUUGAAUGUAGAUGAAGUGGGCGGAAUAUGACAUGUAGCGGUGAAAUGCUUAGAUAUGUCAUAGAACACCGAUUGCGAAGGCAGCUCACUAAACUAUUAUUGACGCUGAGGCACGAAAGCGUGGGGAGCGAACAGG
rnacentral:rRNA from 1 species